AACAUCAAGGCUCGUAAUUUCACUUUCCAAAAUCCAAGAAAAAGAAUGGAACGGCACGCCCAAUCAGUAGAAGCAAGGGCAGUAGAUAUGCGACCAAGCAACUCUGAGGUUCCACAGGAACAAGUGCCUGGUCAAUUGGAGGGGAAAAGCACUGAUUACAAGCAAGAAAAAAGAAAGUCCCUGCGAGCUCGUUUUAUAUAUGGCAUAAUCUUCUUGAUCAUAAAUCUUAAAGCUUGGUUCUUUCGUGACUAUGGACAGAAGGUUCUAGCUCAGUUCAGUUAUAUAAAAGCUUGUGGACCUGAGGGACAAGAUUGCUGUCAUACAUUGGGAGUUCUUCGUGUGAGUUUAGGAUGCUUUAUAUUUUUCUGUGUUAUGCUAGUCACCACAAUAAAAACAAGAAAAUUAUACGAGGCUCGCAGCACUUGGCAUUCAGGAUGGUGGUCGUUGAAGUUUUUCCUAUUGAUUGUAUCAAUGGCAGUUUCUUUUUUCUUCCCAUCAAAGUAUAUUCAAAUAUAUGGCGAAGUUGCUCGUAUUGGUGCAGGGUAAUCUUUGAAUCCUUUUUAUGUGCUUCUGUAUGAGCCAGUGAAAAUCUGAACAUAUAAUACCACAGUUGUUUUCUUGUUUGAUUCCUGCUAUAUAUCAGAAAAGACAUUGCAUAAAGUAAUGAAUAUUAAAUUUCAAUUAUGGGAUUCAAAUGUUUCAUUACCAGUAAAAUUUACAUUUGUGCUUCUGUGCACCAGUAUUUUUCUUGUUCUCCAACUUGUAAGUAUCAUCGAGUUCAUCACAUGUUGGAAUAACUACUGGAUGCCUGAUAAGGAAAUGAAGGAAAGUUGCUCCCUUGGAUUGUUCACUUCAAAAAUCUUUUACGUUGCUUCUGUAUGUGGAAUUGGGUUGAUGUACUUUUUCUAUGGACGAAGCCUCAAAUGUUCUCUCAACAUAUUCUUCAUUACGUGGACUGCAAUUUUGCUUACAGUGAUGAUGGCUAUAUCUUUACAUUCAAAGGUCAAUACAGGUCUUUUAUCUUCUGGGAUUAUGGCUUCGUACCUUGUCUUUCUCUGUUGGUCUGCUAUAAGAAGUGAACCUGUGAAUGACCAAUGCAACAAACAAAACCAAGCAGAUGGAAAUAGUGAUUGGACAACUAUACUAAGCUUCCUAAUUGCAAUAUGUGCCAUUGUCAUGGCAACCUUUUCCACUGGAAUUGAUUCACAAUUUCAGUUCCGCAAAGAUAAAGUUCAACAGGAGGAUGAUAUCCCUUAUGACUAUGGUUUUUUCCAUCUGGUAUUUGCGUUGGGUGCUAUGUACUUUGCCAUGUUAUUCAUCAGUUGGAACCUCAACAACUCAGCAAGAAAGUGGAGUAUUGAUGUUGGCUGGACAAGUACAUGGGUGAAAAUUGUGAAUGAGUGGUUUGCAGCCACAAUAUAUUUAUGGAAAUUGAUUUCCCCAGUUGUGAGAGAGCCUAAGGUCAUGGAUCUAGAGGGAUCCAAUGCAGCAGAAGGAUGAAAAUACACUGAACAGAGAAGAAGAAAAUUUUCACCAGCAAAUCACCAUCAUCAUGGAGAAAAAUCAGUCACAUUUGCAGCACAUGGAAGAUAAAUAUCAUUCAAAAAGAUAUAUGCCAAGUACAAUAAGAAUAUAAUGUUUUAAGAUGGAUAACUCUAUCAAGCUUUCAGCUUCAAUUAUUUUUCUUUCUUGUUCAAAGCAAAGGAUAUGUCGUUGCAUGAUUUUUGAUGCAGUUGCACCUGCCA
rnacentral:misc_RNA from 1 species